rnacentral:rRNA from 1 species
UACGUAGGGUGCAAGCGUUGUCCGGAAUUACUGGGCGUAAAGAGCUCGUAGCGGUUUGUCGCGUGCGUCCUGUGAAAUCCCGCAGCUCAACUGCGGGGCUUGCAGGCGAUACGGGCAGACGUUGAGUACUGCAGGGGAGACUGGAAUUCCUGGUGUAGCGGUGAAAUGCGCAGAUAUCAGGAGGAACGACCCGGUGGCGAAGGCGGGUCUCGUGGGCAGUAACUGACGCUGGAGGAGCGAAAGACGUGGGUAGCGAACAGG